rnacentral:rRNA from 1 species
CCCGUUCCCAUACCGAACACGGAAGUUAAGCUCUUCAGCGCCGAUGGUAGUCGGGGGUUUCCCCCUGUGAGAGUAGGACGCCGCCA